rnacentral:lncRNA from 1 species
CUCUGGUAUGGUUUGAUUCUCUGCUUCUGGCUUAGAAAGAAGCGACAACUUCCCUUCUCAGCUUUGGAAGACUGGGAAGAGAGCACAGCUCCUCUGCCCACCAUCAGCGCUGCAUGUCCAGAGCCCGGGUCAAGGCCAGGUGCAGGGGACGCACUCAGGAAAUGCGUGAUCAAAGCAAACAGCCAUUUUGGAGAAGUCAGAGGAACUUAUUCUAGAUGGGUCAAGAAAGUCCAUCCAGCGUCAUUGCAGAGCCUCCGCAUCAAGACAAUGAACUUUAGUCCUCAAAGAGGCAUAUUGCAUCUGUCAGGAUACACUUGGUUAUGAGGAAACUGAGGCACAGAAGCAUGAAGUGACUUUCCCAAGGUCACGCACAUGGAAAGUGGUGAGGUCAGGUACAUGAUAGGAUUGACUUUCUUCACCCUGUGGAGCUGGGGGUGGCCACGUGCCCGGCUCUGGCAGGUGGAAAGGGACGGGAAGUGUGUGUGAUCCUCGGGGCGGAUGCCAUGGCAGUCUAGUACACGUUUUGCUUUCUUGUCUUAGUGACACAUUCUAGAUGGUUGAGGAGCUGCCACGGUGGGGGUGUGAGUGAGGGUGUGUGGCACCGAGAUGCCCACUGCCUCGCGGUGGACUUUGACUUAAGCCACUGAGGUCUGGGCUUUUCCCUCGUAUGUUUCUGCAGCGUACCAUCGACGUCAAAGGGAACUUUAACCUCAUUCGAUGUUUUCAUUAUUUUUAAUAAAG